rnacentral:rRNA from 1 species
UCCGGAGGGUGCGAUCGUUAUCCGGAAUUACUGGGUUUAAAGGGUGCGUAGGCGGCUUUGUAAGUCAGGAGUGAAAGUUUGCGGCUCAACCGUAAAAUUGCUUUUGAUACUGCAGAGCUAGAAUCAGGAUGAGGUUAGCGGAAUGUGGCAUGUAGCGGUGAAAUGCAUAGAUAUGCCAUAGAACACCAAUUGCGAAGGCAGCUGGCUAGACCUGCAUUGACGCUGAGGCACGAAAGCGUGGGGAGAGAACAGG